rnacentral:hammerhead_ribozyme from 1 species
AUCCAACUAAUGAGUCUCAAAUAGAACAAAAUGCGCAUCCUGGAU